UUUCCCGCAAAACGUACAAACCCUAGAUAACUUGUUCGGCUCGGGUGCAAAAGAUAUAUUUCUUGCUGAAUAUCAGCAAAAAAGUAUUUCUUGCUGAUAUACAGUCGUCGUGUUUAAUACACUGCUGUUUGGGAACUAUUAGUUAUUGCUACCGACUAACGUUAUUUGUAGACGUUCCUUUCAGGCAGGGGGCAGCAGCGGUCUGCUCAUGGACCUGGCAGCAAAUGAGAUAGCAGUGCACUCUUGACUUUUUCAAUGAUUUUGAAGAUCUGUUUGACGACAAGGACCUGCAGUGACUGAAGAAGACCCAGGAUACGUGUGUGUGUGUGUGCCUGUUUGUGUGUGUACAUAUGUGUGCAUGUGAGACAAAAGUAUCCCAAGAACUGUGGAACCAGCACAAUUAUCUCUGGUGGAACGUUGAUCAUGU